rnacentral:SRP_RNA from 1 species
GCUGGGCAUGGUGGUGCACGCCUGUAGUCCCAGCUGCUCAGGAGGCUGAGGCAGGAGAGUUGGUUGGGCCUGGUAGGCGGAGGUUGCAGUGAGCUGAGAUCACACCACUGCACUCCAGCCCAGUCGGUGGCGCGAGACUCCAUCUCAAAAAAGAAAAAAAAAAAUUAUGCCUCAUUCAUUAUCCAACUUUGUCACUGAUAGAGAAGGACAUGGAUCCAGAGAUGAACUUGUCCAGGUGACCCCAGGGCUCUUUUCCCCCCCAUUUCUCUUUUUUUUUUUUUUUUGAGACGGAGUCUGGCUCUGUCACCUGGGCUGGAGUGCAGUGGUGUGAUCUCAGCUCACUGCAACCUCCGCCUACCAGGCCCAACCAACUCUCCUGCCUCAG